CAUCGUUUUUUGUUAAAAUAUAUAAAAUAUAACCUGCCCAAUGAAAAUUUAAAUGGCCGCGGUAUUUUGACCGUGCAAAGGUAGCAUAAUCAUUAGUUUCUUAAUUAGAAGCUUGUAUGAAUGGUUGGACGAGAAAGUUUCUGUCUCUUUAUAAUUAAAUAGAAUUUUAUAUUUAAGUUAAAAAGCUUAAAUUUGUUUAAAAGACGAGAAGACCCUAUAGAGUUUUAUUUAUUUGAAUUUAAUAAUAAAUUGGUGUCUAUUGAUUGUUAUAAUUUAAUAAAUUUGGUUGGGGUGAUUUAAAGAUUUAAUUAACUCUUUAUUAUUUUUUUUAUUAAUUUAUAUUUAAUUGAUCCAUUUUUUGUGAUUAUAAGAUUAAAUUACCUUAGGGAUAACAGCGUAAUUUUUAUGGAGAGUUCUUAUCAAUAUAAAAGUUUGCGACCUCGAUGUUGGAUUAAAAUUAAUAUUAGGUGUAGAAGCUUAAUUAUUAAGUCUGUUCGACUUUUAAAAUUUUACAUGAUCUGAGU
rnacentral:rRNA from 1 species